UACGUAGGGGGCAAGCGUUGUCCGGAAUCAUUGGGCGUAAAGAGCGUGUAGGCGGCCAGAUAAGUCCGCUGUGAAAACUCGAGGCUCAACUUCGAGCUGUCGGCGGAAACUAUCUGGCUAGAGUCCGGAAGAGGAGAGUGGAAUUCCUGGUGUAGCGGUGAAAUGCGCAGAUAUCAGGAAGAACACCCGUGGCGAAGGCGGCUCUCUGGGCCUGUCCUGACGCUCAGGCGCGAAAGCUAGGGGAGCGAACAGG
rnacentral:rRNA from 1 species